rfam:Podospora anserina genomic DNA, chromosome 1.
GGGCGUGUGGCUCAGUUGGUAGAGCGUUCGCUUAGCAUCGGGACUUGAUCUUAGUAUCAGUCAUCUUGUAUGCGAAAGGUCCUGGGUUCGAUUCCCAGCCCGUCCA